UAGAGCUCAGUUCCCACCUCCUGGGUGGGUGGUUGAGCACUGUGAUGGGGGGAAGUGGCUGACUGUGUGUCUCAUUGGCUGGCUGCUUCCUGAUGGGGCUGCAUCAAGUCUCCCAUUUCCACUUUGGCUAAGAGUUUAGCACCGGUUAGUAUGCUAAAGACAGCCACCAAGGAAGUGUAAAGUCCAAGAAGAAAUGUCCCAAGUAUCAACCACACAGACCAACACCUUCUCUUGGCCUUGGGAUUACAAAGAAAAGAGCACAGCCAAAUUGACAAGACAGUCAGGAAAUAGAUGGGCAAUGCUGUGUGAGGGGCACAGUGAUCGAAAUGUCAGCAUCUAAUAGAAGCUUGCAGGAAGAUGUUGUCAAGUUUAUCUUGUUCGGGCAUGGAGAUCUAAAGUGGAUUGUUACGAGAACAAUUUUUUUUUGUUAACGAAAAAAUUAAGCAAUUUUUUAUAUCAUGUGUACCACAUUUUUGAUGACAACGGUCUAUUAUUUAUACUGAUAACUAAGUAAAAGUCUAACUAUUCUGCUGGUUUCAUUGGCUGGUUUGGUUGUUUUACAGUAAAAAAAAAAAAAAACAAAAAAACUUGUGUGGAAUCCCCAGUUUUUAAAAUGUCAAGAAAGAUACCCUGGGACUUUUAAAAGAUGGAACUAUACCUUGUUUUCACAUUCUUCACUUGGCCAACUCCAUGAAAUAAUGCUAUCAAAUAAAUAGCAAUUCAGUCAAUGGAUAAAUUUUUAAAAUAAAAGUUUUAGUCAUAUGAAGAGUGAAGACCUCUUCAGUUAUUUUAAACAAAGCUUAAUAUGUGAAUAAAUUGCUUUCACACUCUCAAAGUGUAUAAUUAAGCACUGAAGACCAGAGAAUGAAGAUUUAAAUUAUUCAGGA
rnacentral:lncRNA from 1 species